GAUGAACGCUGGCGGCGUGCCUAACACAUGCAAGUCGAACGGAGUCGUUUUGGAAAUCUCUUCGGAGAUGGAAUUCUCGACUUAGUGGCGGACGGGUGAGUAACGCGUGAGCAAUCUGCCUUUAAGAGGGGGAUAACAGUCGGAAACGGCUGCUAAUACCGCAUAAAGCAUUAAAUUCGCAUGUUUUUGAUGCCAAAGGAGCAAUCCGCUUUUAGAUGAGCCCGCGUCUGAUUAGCUAGUUGGCGGGGUAACGGCCCACCAAGGCGACGAUCAGUAGCCGGACUGAGAGGUUGAACGGCCACAUUGGGACUGAGACACGGCCCAGACUCCUACGGGAGGCAGCAGUGGGGAAUAUUGCGCAAUGGGGGAAACCCUGACGCAGCAACGCCGCGUGAUUGAAGAAGGCCUUCGGGUUGUAAAGAUCUUUAAUCAGGGACGAAACAAAUGACGGUACCUGAAGAAUAAGCUCCGGCUAACUACGUG
rnacentral:rRNA from 1 species